rnacentral:rRNA from 1 species
UUAAGUGACUAAGCGUACAAGGUGGAUGCCUUGGCAAUCAGAGGCGACGAAGGACGUGCUAAUCUGCGAAAAGCUUGGAUGAGUCGAUAAGAGGCGUUUAAUCCAAGAUGUCCGAAUGGGGAAACCCAGUAGAUGAAGAAUCUACUAUCACUUACUGAAUCCAUAGGUAAGUGAGGCAAACCGGGAGAACUGAAACAUCUAAGUACCCCGAGGAAAAGAAAUCAACCGAGAUUUCGUUAGUAGCGGCGAGCGAACGCGAAGGAGCCUGUUAGUGAUAAUGACAUAGACAGAGGAACAAGCUGGGAAGCUUGGCGAUACAGGGUGAUAGCCCCGUACUCGAAGUCCAGGUCAUGGUACUAAGCUAACGACAAGUAGGGCGGGACACGUGAUAUCCUGUUUGAAGAUGGGGGGACCAUCCUCCAAGGCUAAAUACUCCUGAUUGACCGAUAGUGAACCAGUACUGUGAAGGAAAGGCGAAAAGAACCCCGGUGAGGGGAGUGAAAUAGAACCUGAAACCUUGUACGUACAAGCAGUGGGAGCCCUUUAAGGGUGACUGCGUACCUUUUGUAUAAUGGGUCAGCGACUUAUAUUUUGUAGCGAGGUUAACCGAAUAGGGGAGCCGAAGGGAAACCGAGUCUUAACUGGGCGUCUAGUUGCAAGGUAUAGACCCGAAACCCGGUGAUCUAGCCAUGGGCAGGUUGAAGGUUGGGUAACACUAACUGGAGGACCGAACCGACUAAUGUUGAAAAAUUAGCGGAUGACUUGUGGCUGGGGGUGAAAGGCCAAUCAAACCGGGAGAUAGCUGGUUCUCCCCGAAAUCUAUUUAGGUAGAGCCUUGAGCGGACACCUUCGGGGGUAGAGCACUGUUUCGGCUAGGGGUCCAUCCCGGAUUACCAACCCGAUGCAAACUACGAAUACCGAAGAGUGAUACUCAGGAGACACACGGCGGGUGCUAACGUCCGUCGUGGAGAGGGAAACAACCCAGACCGCCAGCUAAGGUCCCAAAGUCUAUAUUAAGUGGGAAACGAAGUGGGAAGGCUUAGACAGCUAGGAUGUUGGCUUAGAAGCAGCCAUCAUUUAAAGAAAGCGUAAUAGCUCACUAGUCGAGUCGGCCUGCGCGGAAGAUGUAACGGGGCUCAAAUAUAGCACCGAAGCUGCGGCAUCAGUAGCAAUACUGUUGGGUAGGGGAGCGUUCUGUAAGCGGAUGAAGAUGGCUCGAGAGGGCUGUUGGACGUAUCAGAAGUGCGAAUGCUGACAUAAGUAACGAUAAAACGGGUGAAAAACCCGUUCGCCGGAAGACCAAGGGUUCCUGUCCAACGUUAAUCGGGGCAGGGUGAGUCGGCCCCUAAGGCGAGGCUGAAAAGCGUAGUCGAUGGGAAACGGGUUAAUAUUCCCGUACUUGGAUAAACUGCGAUGUGGGGACGGAGCAGGUUAGGUUAUCGCACUGUUGGAUAUGUGCGUUUAAGUUGGUAGGUGUGAAGUUUAGGCAAAUCCGGACUUCUUUAACACCGAGAGAUGAUGACGAGGCUCUACGGAGCUGAAGUAACCGAUACCACACUUCCAGGAAAAGCCACUAAGCUUCAGGUUUAUCUAAACCGUACUGAAAACCGACACAGGUGGUCAGGUAGAGAAUACUCAGGCGCUUGAGAGAACUCGGGUGAAGGAACUAGGCAAAAUAGCACCGUAACUUCGGGAGAAGGUGCGCCGGCGUAGAUUGUAGUCCCUAGCGGGCGAAGGUUGAACCGGUCGAAGAUACCAGCUGGCUGCAACUGUUUAUUAAAAACACAGCACUCUGCAAACACGAAAGUGGACGUAUAGGGUGUGAUGCCUGCCCGGUGCUGGAAGGUUAAUUGAUGGUGUAAUCGAAAGAGAAGCUCCUGAUCGAAGCCCCAGUAAACGGCGGCCGUAACUAUAACGGUCCUAAGGUAGCGAAAUUCCUUGUCGGGUAAGUUCCGAC